CAAAUGAGAUCUCAGAAGGAAAAGAACCUUUCAACUGAAGCAGUUAGAGUAAAAUGCCUCUUGACAUUUCAGAUCCAUGAGCCCCUUAACAUUGGUAGAAAGGUAUAAAAGUCAGCGCUGAAUGAGUAUUCAGCAGGUUCAUCAGUGUGUCGAUUCCCAAAACUGCAUGAAUCAAGCAAAACUCAGGAUUAACUCAGUCAAUCCAUGGAGGCUUAAUAGAAUGAGGCAUUUGAAAUAUUUCAAGAAUGGGCAUGAGCAGAUCAGUGAGGAUGACUCAGAAUGGUGUAACUGCAUUAUUUUGUGGCAUCCUGUUAUUACAGAAAUAUCUUUCAUAAAUUAUGAUUUUUUUUUUCAACAAAUGGAAGUAAUGCAACACCUAUUUGGUAUACUCAUCAUAUACGUUAAAUCUAACAAUGGCAUAUAAUUGAUAACAUCAGCAGGUCAAUCUACAAAUAUUCUGUAUCAUGGCAUUUCUGAGAAGCAAUUUUUAAUUUAACAACACGGAGAAUCUGGUGUGAGAGAGACCUGACUUACUGAUCUGAGAUGCAGUUUUUCAUUGUCAUGGAAUUCUUAAAUUUCAG
rnacentral:lncRNA from 1 species